GAGGUACUAUUCAUUUGUCCCUUGCCUAUUUAGAUGACCAGUUCCGGUUAAUGUUUUAUUUAACAACUGAAGUCUUUCGAUUAAAUUCAGGAGUAUAUACAGAGCACACACUUAGUGAAAGAUCUUGCUUGUUUAUUUUCUGAGAUCUGGAAACUGGUUAAUGGUCAUGAUCAGGACAAUGUACAGAUGUGUUUCAGUGAUGCGCUGGAGCAUGUUUAUGAUGAAAAUCGGUAUCCAUUACGCAAACGUAAUUUGAACAACGAGUUGAGGUACACUGGUGGUUUGAACCUGCAGGAACUAGUAGUUUUUUUUUCUUUUCCUUUCUUACACUUCCGCUUUGUGUUUUCAUUGGACAAUUAGUAUACCUCUUACGUUGCAAACUGCUUCAAUCAUCUUUCCUUGUAGUUUCGGCAGUGCACGCAGGGUAUCAGUAAGGAAGUUCCGGAUUCGAUAGCUCUUGAGUUAAUUUCCUGGGAAGUUAGGUUCAAGUGUGACCUGCCAAAGACAUAUGUGCAGUAUGCCAGAAAGAAGCUCAAGAUUGCAGAAACCAUAGGAUUGAUUCCCAAGGCCAAGAUAUUCGCGUAGUUGUUUGUUGCUUGUUG